rnacentral:lncRNA from 1 species
GGGUUUAGUGUGAAUGGGGGUUAUUUAUAUCCAUAUGCUUUUGAUACGGGCCGUCCAUCAUGUUUGAUAUGGAUCGUCCGAUCGGAUUAAAUAUGGAGUGAAUCGGAACCGUUCAUCGAGAUCCAAUCUGGGCUAUCCAUUAGGAUCAACUUUGGACUGUCCGAUCGCGUUUAAAUCUAACUGUCCGAUCAUGUUUGGGGAGGGAAUGCAUCUGGACCGUCCAUGCGUGCAGGAACAGACUUGAGCCGUUCGAUUGCGGGCAUGUGGAUCGCCCGCGUGGCCUCCUGCAUGGCACUGCGUCAGCAUCCGCUGCAAUGUGGCGCGUCCUGAUUUGCCGAGCCUGCUGACCGGGCGUCUAACGUGGCGAAACUUCUCUAAAUUAU